CGGGGUGUCGUAUAACGGUAGUAUGUAUGCUUUGGGAGCAUGCGGCCUGGGUUCAACUCCCAGCACCCCGACCA
rnacentral:tRNA from 1 species